rnacentral:pre_miRNA from 11 species
AUUUUUAAGGACAGUGGACUCAUCCAUAAAGUAGAAAGCACUACUAAACGCCUGUGCCCAAGUGUAGUGUUUCCUACUUUAUGGAUGAGUGUACUGUGAGCAACGGAG